GGUGCUGCUAGCAUUCAUGCUUUCUGCUGGCCCGCUCUUGGCUCUCCUGUGGAAUUCAGUCCUCUGCUUCCAGGACAAGCCCAGCCUGCACUUGGGGAUCCUUGGGUGACCGUUCAACCGUCUGGUUUUGAGGACUCGUGGGAAUUUAUAUUAUUAGUACUGUAGACAGUGAACAGCAGAGUCUGUAUCAAGGGAAACUAUUUUCCAACAUAUUUUUGUGGUCUUACUUGGUGGCUUGACUUGCAAGGGUUAUGAGGUGGUGAAUUUAUUUCUUCAGCACAGUUCAGAGUGCCGUUCCCUACCAGCAGUUGUCUUUUGCCUUCAUGGCAGAACCUGAGAGGAGCCUUUAAGAAUGGCUGCAGACCCACAGGAGUUCUAAGAUGCUAAGAUGCUCUAGUGGCUGGGAUGGGGAGGUUGGGCCAGUCCAGAAGUAGCUGCCUGUGCCACAGUGCUGGCUGGAAAGCUGACAACUGUCACAGGCUGAUUUCCAAAGUGGCUGAGUGUGGCUGUGUAAGGGAGCCUUUCCCAGGAGAGCUAACUGCCCAGGAGAGCCAACCACUUCAGACCAGCCCUCUCAGAGGACGACUGUUGAGGGGCCCUGGUUCACAGUAGGACCUUAAAGCCUGGAGGUUGAGGAACUCCAGCCCCUCCAUCCAGGCUGAGAGCCACCCCCCAUGGAUUCCCAGGAGAUCAUGGGCCUGGUAGGACCACAGCCUGAAGAUAGAUGACUUUAUAACAGCCAUCUGACCUACUUCUGCCUUAGCGCAGCAUACAGCAGCCAGCCGAAGGGAAAAUUCGCAACCUGCCGUGAAGGACAUGCCUGUGCUCACAAAGUAGUGGGCCAUACUGUGUUUUCCCCAGCUAGCUGUGGAGUUAGGAUUUUGAAGCUGUUGGGUGGGGCUCCAUCUGUGGAGUGGGGGCAGGGACCAUGAGGUCCAAUAGGUGGAAUGGGUGGCCUCCCUGCAGCCAUGCAGGGGAGGUGACUUUCCUGGCAGGAAUUUCGGUGACUCUCCCCUUACUAACCACCAUCCUGCCUUGACCCCCAAGAGACACGCACUGUGAUCCAGCGUCACCUCGGUUCUACACCCCCUGCUCCCCAGCAGAGUGGACAGUUCUGUUCUAGAAGCCUGGCCAACAAAUUCUUUCAGACACAAGACUAUCUGGGGAAAUGAUAUGAA
rnacentral:lncRNA from 1 species